CUCUUCAUCAUGCAGCCAAACCAAAACACCUAGAUACUUGCCUCCAGUCCCAGCUAGUUAUCGUUCUAAUUAGAUCACCUGGUAGAUAUCAUAGGGGCGGUGAGGGGUGUGCCGCCCCGCUAGUUUCCCUGGUAACCAACAAGAAGACCGGAAGUCAGUUCCCCCAGGAACUGGUAACCUCCCCCUCUCCCAUCACGAAGGCUGCCGCCAUCCUCUGCUGCCUCUGCCGCCUGCCAUCUGCACCGCAGGUGGAGGGAUGUCGCUCCAGGACCUUGCUUCAGAUACGUAAGCGCCCCCAUCCAUUAGAUCCUCAGGCCACGGACCAGUACUGGUCCAGGACCUGGUAGGAACUGGGGCACUGCACAGGAGGAGUCCUUUCUGCAAUAGCCCUCUAAGAUGGCCAUCCAGCCUCAAGCAAAAGACUUUGGCUCAAGUUUGGUUUCCAGAUAAAGGAGUUUAUUUUACUCCUGCUUGCCUUGAGGCCAGCUGCUUCACAAUGCUUAUUAAUGAGCAUAAUGACAGAGGAACAGAGAAAAAGAAUAGGCCAAACGUGAGAAAAAACAGAGUUCAUCAGAACCAGAAUUUCAUGGAUUCUUUAUUGUGGAGGAGAAGGCUGAGAAAAAUCCAAGUGAGGCCAUUUAAAGCUGAUUUUGAGGACCCAAGAUAUGUUGAAGGGAGAAGCCAGGAAAGGAUGCCACUGGAUACCAACCUGGGGCUGCCUGUUCGGAAUCAGAGGAGGCUUGAUGGUCCAAAUGAAGGGAGAGUAAGGCAAUUGUCUGGACUCUGCAUGUGUAUAUAAUCAGCAAAUAAAAGAUUUUCUCUCAA
ensembl:lncRNA